GUUCAUGGGUGUGGGGAGAGGAGCCGGUGGGUGGGGUGUAAUAUUCUCCACCAAUCUGUCUUCAUCUUACUGCCAGUCUCUGAGGGGCCUGUGCCAGCCUGAAGAUCAAGGGAAGGUGAUGACCAGCUGCCCUCAGGGCAGCCCCCUGUUUCUUGUGGACAGGGAACCAGGAGAUAAACAGGACUACAGCCUCCUCGAGUGACAAAGUUGGAAGCAGCCCCGGGCCGUGAUCAAAAGCUAUGCCGUGGGAAAGAACUUGAGCUCAAAGUCUGCCUUGAAGAUCCAAGGAGCCACCUCAUAAAUAUUCUGUCAGUAUGGGAGAUUUCUGGCAUCAUGGUUCUACAGAAGGACGCUUUAUUUAUGUUCAGUAUCCUUAAGAGAUCUGAGGUACAGCUUAGAUGGAACAGGUAUGA